AUGUUGAAUGUCGUUUUUGGCG
rnacentral:siRNA from 1 species